AUUCUCGCGAGAACAUAAAGAAAUCAUGGCGAUGUUAGGACAACAAGGGCAGUGUAAGUUUGAGGACAAAUGGCCAAGUAUGCGGCCGACCGUCCUCAAGCUGCUUCGACAAGAGGCCGUCACACGUGAUGAGUGGCAUGGACUCUUCUGGGCCGUACAUUCUGUAUGUAUGUGGGAUGAGAAAGACGGACCACCAAAAUCUACCAAGCACUACAGGAUGACAUUCUGG